rnacentral:rRNA from 2 species
CGGACAGAUGGGAGCUUGCUCCCUGAAGUCAGCGGCGGACGGGUGAGUAACACGUGGGCAACCUGCCUGUAAGACUGGGAUAACUCCGGGAAACCGGGGCUAAUACCGGAUAAUUCUUUCCCUCACAUGAGGGAAAGCUGAAAGAUGGUUUCGGCUAUCACUUACAGAUGGGCCCGCGGCGCAUUAGCUAGUUGGUGAGGUAACGGCUCACCAAGGCAACGAUGCGUAGCCGACCUGAGAGGGUGAUCGGCCACACUGGGACUGAGACACGGCCCAGACUCCUACGGGAGGCAGCAGUAGGGAAUCUUCCGCAAUGGACGAAAGUCUGACGGAGCAACGCCGCGUGAGUGAUGAAGGUUUUCGGAUCGUAAAACUCUGUUGUUAGGGAAGAACAAGUACCGGAGUAACUGCCGGUACCUUGACGGUACCUAACCAGAAAGCCACGGCUAACUACGUGCCAGCAGCCGCGGUAAUACGUAGGUGGCAAGCGUUGUCCGGAAUUAUUGGGCGUAAAGCGCGCGCAGGCGGUUCCUUAAGUCUGAUGUGAAAGCCCCCGGCUCAACCGGGGAGGGUCAUUGGAAACUGGGGAACUUGAGUGCAGAAGAGAAGAGUGGAAUUCCACGUGUAGCGGUGAAAUGCGUAGAGAUGUGGAGGAACACCAGUGGCGAAGGCGACUCUUUGGUCUGUAACUGACGCUGAGGCGCGAAAGCGUGGGGAGCA